rnacentral:rRNA from 1 species
UACGAAGGGGGGCUAGCGUUGCUCGGAAUCACUGGGCGUAAAGCGCACGUAGGCGGAUUCUUAAGUCAGGGGUGAAAUCCUGGAGCUCAACUCCAGAACUGCCUUUGAUACUGGGAGUCUCGAGUCCGGGAGAGGUGAGUGGAACUGCGAGUGUAGAGGUGAAAUUCGUAGAUAUUCGCAAGAACACCAGCGGCGAAGGCGGCACUCUGGGCUGGAACUGACGCUGAGGAGCGAAAGCGUGGGGAGCGAACAGG